CCCUAAAAGCCUCUAACCCCAGCUUGAAAGUUCAGGGCUUUUGCAGUCGUGAAGUUAGACAAGGAAGCGAGAGGGUGGGGUUUUGAGGUGGUCACUUUAGAUGGCCGCAGUAGCAGAGGUCGACUCCCCUCCACCACUAUUUCAAGUAAAAGUAUAGGUAUUACCUGUGAUACACGACCACGUAGGAUGAUAAUCUGAGUUGGCUUAAAUAUGUGGCAACCGGGA